rnacentral:rRNA from 1 species
AAUGAACGCUGGCGGCAUGCCUAACACAUGCAAGUCGAACGAAGGCUUCGGCCUUAGUGGCGCACGGGUGCGUAACGCGUGGGAAUCUGCCCCUUGGUUCGGAAUAACAGUUAGAAAUGACUGCUAAUACCGGAUGAUGACGUAAGUCCAAAGAUUUAUCGCCGAGGGAUGAGCCCGCGUAGGAUUAGCUAGUUGGUGUGGUAAGAGCGCACCACGGCGACGAUCCUUAGCUGGUCUGAGAGGAUGAUCAGCCACACUGGGACUGAGACACGGCCCAGACUCCUACGGGAGGCAGCAGUGGGGAAUAUUGGACAAUGGGCGAAAGCCUGAUCCAGCAAUGCCGCGUGAGUGAUGAAGGCCUUAGGGUUGUAAAGCUCUUUUACCCGGGAUGAUAAUGACAGUACCGGGAGAAUAAGCUCCGGCUAACUCCGUG